rnacentral:rRNA from 1 species
CCAGGGCGGCUGCAGUGGGGAAUAUUGGACAAUGGGCGAAAGCCUGAUCCAGCCAUGCCGCGUGUGUGAAGAAGGCCUUCGGGUUGUAAAGCACUUUCAGUGGGGAAGAAAGCCUUGGGGCUAAUACCCUCGAGGAAGGACAUCACCCACAGAAGAAGCACCGGCUAACUCCGUGCCAGCAGCCGCGGUAAUACGGAGGGUGCGAGCGUUAAUCGGAAUUACUGGGCGUAAAGCGCGCGUAGGCGGUCUGAUAAGCCGGUUGUGAAAGCCCCGGGCUCAACCUGGGAACGGCAUCCGGAACUGUCAGGCUAGAGUGCAGGAGAGGAAGGUAGAAUUCCCGGUGUAGCGGUGAAAUGCGUAGAGAUCGGGAGGAAUACCAGUGGCGAAGGCGGCCUUCUGGACUGACACUGACGCUGAGGUGCGAAAGCGUGGGUAGCAAACAGGAUUAGAUACCCCAGUAGUC